rnacentral:rRNA from 1 species
UACAGAGGGGGCAAGCGUUGUUCGGAAUUACUGGGCGUAAAGGGCGCGUAGGUGGCCUGCUAAGUCGAACGUGAAAUCCCUGGGCUCAACCCAGGAACUGCGUCCGAUACUGGUUGGCUUGAAUCCGGGAGAGGGAUGUGGAAUUCCAGGUGUAGCGGUGAAAUGCGUAGAUAUCUGGAGGAACACCGGUGGCGAAGGCGACAUCCUGGACCGGUAUUGACGCUGAGGCGCGAAAGCGUGGGGAGCAAACAGG